ensembl:rRNA 5S_rRNA 5S ribosomal RNA
CCCAGCAGCCAUAUCACUCUGCAACUCACAACUGGCAACCCACUGAAGCUAAGCAGGUGUGAGCCUGGUCAGUACCUGGAUGGGAGACCUCCUGGGAAAAACUAAGGUGCUGCUGGAA